rnacentral:rRNA from 1 species
UACGAAGGGUGCAAGCGUUAUUCGGAUUGAUUGGGCGUAAAGGGUGCGCAGGCGGUAUGUUAAGUCAACUGUUAAAUAUCCCAGCUUAACUGGGAAACAGCAGUAGAUACUGAUGUGCUAGAGGGUGGAAGAGAGAAGUGGAAUUCUCGGAGUAGCGGUAAAAUGCGUAGAUCUCGAGAGGAACACCAAUGGCGAAGGCAGCUUCUUGGUCCACACCUGACGCUCAUGCACGAAAGCGUGGGGAGCAAACAGG